rnacentral:rRNA from 1 species
GACGAACGCUGGCGGCGUGCUUAAUACAUGCAAGUCGAGCGAGGUUAUUUUUUCAAAGUCCUUCGGGGUGGCGAAAUUUUAACCUAGCGGCGGACGGGUGAGUAACGCGUGGGCAACCUGCCCUAAAGCCCGGGAUAACAGUGGGAAACUACUGCUAACACCGGAUGGUCUCAUUUUGUGGCAUCAUAAGAUGAGUAAAGGUUACGCUUUAGGAUGGGCCCGCGUCCCAUUAGCUAGUUGGUGAGGUAACUGCUCACCAAGGCGACGAUGGGUAGCCGGCCUGAGAGGGUGGACGGCCACACUGGGACUGAGACACGGCCCAGACUCCUACGGGAGGCAGCAGUAGGGAAUAUUGCGCAAUGGAGGGAACUCUGACGCAGCGACGCCGCGUGAGCGAUGAAGGUCUUCGGAUCGUAAAGCUCUGUCCUCAGGGAAGAAGGUUAUUAACUUGACGGUACCUGAGGAGGAAGCCCGGCUAACUACGUG